ACCUGGGUGGCUCAGUUGGUUGAGCAUCUGACUUCAGAUCAGGUAAUGAUCUCACGGUUCGUGAGUUUGAGCCCCACAUCUGGCU
rnacentral:tRNA from 1 species